UUCUACCUGCGGUGUGCGUGAAAAGCAAGUAAUAUUUAACCACAAAACUUAAACGGGAUUGCUCGUAUACGCGUAUUAUGUCGGGCCGCAACCGUUCCGAGGUGAACGGUUUUCCUAUCUCGCAAGGGAUAGCAAACAGCGGAAGACAGCGGACGCGGUCGGCUUGCCCACCUGCCAAUCGGCGGGUUAAAAUUAAAGCUGUAAACGGCAUUGCGGGGCACUU
rnacentral:other from 1 species